UAACUCAAGUCUUCCUUCAACUACGCAUAAAUCUCUCGCCUUUUACUAAAGAUUUCCGUGGAGGGGGACCAGUGUGAGUUUGUUGUAUUUUUGGAUGCUCUGCUGACUGCAGAGCU